rnacentral:snoRNA from 1 species
CUUCCCAUUUACUUGCUGCUCUAGUCUCUCAGUGGCAGGAGCAGUUAUACGCAUGGGAUAAAAUAAUAUCAGACAAUUGUAAAUUGAGAUUUUUCUCUCUUCUGCAUGGUCUAGACGUUG